UACGUAGGGGCCGAGCGUUGUCCGGAGUUAUUGGGCGUAAAGCGCGCGCAGGCGGCCUCGCGCGCCCGACGUGAAAGCCCCCGGCUUAACCGGGGAGGGUCGUUGGGGACGGCGGGGCUUGAGGGCGGGAGAGGUCGGUGGAAUUCCCGGUGUAGUGGUGAAAUGCGUAGAGAUCGGGAGGAACACCUGUGGCGAAGGCGGCCUACUGGGUCAGUACUGACGCUGAGCCGCGAAAGCCAGGGGAGCGAACGGG
rnacentral:rRNA from 1 species